CGGUGGAUGAUGUGGAUUAAUUCGAUGCAACGCGAAAACCUUACCUACCCUUGACAUGUCCGGAAUCCCGAAGAGAUUUGGGAGUGCUCGCAAGAGAACCGGAACACAGGUGCUGCAUGGCUGUCGUCAGCUCGUGUCGUGAGAUGUUGGGUUAAGUCCCGCAACGAGCGCAACCCUUGUCAUUAGUUGCCAUCAUUGGUUGGGCACUCUAAUGAGACUGCCGGUGACAAACCGGAGGAAGGUGGGGAUGACGUCAAGUCCUCAUGGCCCUUAUGGGUAGGGCUUCACACGUCAUACAAUGGUCGGUACAGAGGGUUGCCAACCCGCGAGGGGGAGCUAAUCCCACAAAGCCGAUCGUAGUCCGGAUCGCAGUCUGCAACUCGACUGCGUGAAGUCGGAAUCGCUAGUAAUCGCGGAUCAGCAUGUCGCGGUGAAUACGUUCCCGGGUCUU
rnacentral:rRNA from 1 species